rnacentral:tRNA from 1 species
GGAGGUGUAGCUCAGUGGUACAGCACAUGCUUAGUAGGCAUGAGGUUCUGGGUUUAAUCCCUGCCACUUAA